rnacentral:rRNA from 1 species
UGGGGAAUAUUGGGCAAUGGGCGAAAGCCUGACCCAGCAACGCCGCGUGAAGGAAGGAGGCCUUCGGGUUGUAAACUUCUUUUAGCGGGACGAGAGUAGACGGUACCUCGUGAAUAAGCCACGGCUAACUACGUGCCAGCAGCCGCGGUAAUACGUAGGGGGCAAGCGUUAUCCGGAUUUACUGGGUGUAAAGGGAGCGUAGACGGCGAAGCAAGUCUGAAGUGAAAACCCAGGGCUCAACCCUGGGACUGCUUUGGAAACUGUUUUGCUAGAGUGUCGGAGAGGUAAGUGGAAUUCCUAGUGUAGCGGUGAAAUGCGUAGAUAUUAGGAGGAACACCAGUGGCGAAGGCGGCUUACUGGACGAUAACUGACGUUGAGGCUCGAAAGCGUGGGGAGCAAACAGGAUUAGAUACCCUGGUAGU